UACCUGCCGAGAACGCUGCGACGUCGAGUGAUUAGCUUAUUGCAUGGUUUGAUAUGUUUCCUCAAACCGCGUUAACUAACUUGACUUGCUCGUUGGUGAUUCAUGGAAAUUUGAGUGAUAUUACGAGGUGAAGUUGCGGAAUAUUUGGAGUGAGAAUUUGUAAAUUUUCUGUGUUUCAUCAUGUUACGUAUGCUCUUAGAUACAUUUCCAGAUACGUCACAAACUUUACCAAUAUAAUUUAAUGAAGAUGCAGAUUAUUUCAAAAUAUCUUCAAUAAUACAGAUAAUAUAUUCAUAAAAGAAAUUCGAAUACUUUUUUUUUCGCCUGUAACGUGUUAGAGAUCAUUUGACGAGACGAGAUUGAAUUGCAAGACACAAAUUUGGGAUAGCAAUAUCAUUGAAAUUAAUGAGGGAAUAAUAUGUGGUGACAGCUUAAGCGCCACACAAUAAAGGACUAUGGUGAAGCUACAGCAGCACGUGUCUGUGGAAAAAGAGCGAAAGAUAGCACGUGCACAUACGUUUUGCAAUUUUGAAUCGAUUUCUUCUGAAACGCGGCGGCCUUCGGCCGCGUGAAUUAAUUUAUGAAUAAAGGAAGCAAGAUGUCUGGAAGUGCGUAAAGCGUUACGACAUUCCCAGGGAUGAAUGCAACAUAUUUGCAACACGUGUUUGUAUCCCGCAUGUUUAAAUACCAUUCGGCGUUCGUUUUUAACGAAUAGAAAAUCAAACAAUCAUAUAAUCGAAAAGGCGAUACCAUAAUAAAAAUCUCUGUUGGAAGUAUGCAAAUGUGUCGACGUUACAUAAAAGUUAGAUUUAAAAGUUAAUGAAAAGUCGAGGAAUUAAAUAAAAGUUAAAAAUUCAAGAGAUUGACAAGUGACGGAUAUAAAAGAAAAAGAUCGAAAAAUUAAACGAAUUUCAAUUGAAUUGAACGAAUUGAACUCCGUACAUCGAAAAAUAGAGAAACGCGAGUGACGAUAUUGUAACAUUUUCCGUAAUCCAUCUUGGAACUUGCAGCUUCUUUUUCUUAAGAUAAAUAUACGUUUCUUCUUUUUUUUUUGAGAAGUUUAGCUCUAAAUAUUUAGCUAAGCAAGAACAAAAAAUCCAGCUUAGUAGAUCUGUUUUAAACAAGAAAGAAAUGAAAGAAGUAAAUAAGAAUUGAAGAAGUAAAUAAGAAUUGAGGAAAUAAAUAAGAAAUGAAGAAGUAAAUAAGAAUUGAAGAAGUAAAUAAGAAUUGAAGAAGUAAACAAAGAAAUCCGAGGAAUCGAGGAAAUUUUAAAGCUAAAUAUAAAUCAUUCUGUCCAUGUAGCUUUAAAUUUCUCUAUUUCCAAUGAAAAACACCUAACAUGAAUUUACGAACAAACCGAGACGAAUAAUCAAUGAAUUCACGUUCUAAGCUCCGUAACAAAAUUGCAGAGCUGGUGUCCUAGUUCUGGAAGUAGUAGCGAGUUUGAUCGAAAUUCAGGAAGCUGUGAAUUUUUUAGUGGAAGCUCGCCCAUAGCAAAUUCUUAUUCUUUUGUCUUGAAACUCGAUACGACGUAAAAGAUUCGGUUUUCCCAUCUCUACAACCGGAAUUUCGUUACAGGCGAACCAUCGAUCGUGGUUAGACACAACGAGCCGAAAAGAUUUUUGCGUGCUGUCACAUCUGGUUUUAUUCAUUGGAAAGCUGAUGACCUUGAAAGCAAUGAACGCCCAGGGAAAGUCCGUGGUUCCCAGCGAAUCGAAGAGCAACUCGCAGGCAAGCAGCGACGAAUAACCGAAGAAGGUCGGCCAAGUGAUUACCAGAAGCCACGAAGACGAGUUUGAAACCGGUUCAUGGAAGAACGAAUGAAGAUGGAAGAGUGGCGAAAACAUGAGACUAGAUAAGCCAUGUGUACGACCGAUGAAAGAAAUUCAGCAUGUUGCAUGCCACGGGGGUCAUCGGUCACCGACACUCAACUUGUUGGUGGCGCUAUGGAGGUCACCGGUAACCGGCGUGCCAAGAUUGGUAGAAAUACAUAAUUUGAACAAAUGUCAAUUGUUCAUUAUCACCAUCGUUACUACAAUGAUGUGACGAAAUUAAUACAGUAUAAAACAUAUGAAAAUAGUUUUAUUUAUACAUGAAAUAUAGAUAAUAAUAUAAUAUUUCAUCAUUACAUGUAUCGUAUAAUAAAAAAUUCAUUACGGUGCCACGGGUAAUCCCUGUAAAACUAGCAUUCAACGUGUUGAAAGCUUCCUUCAGUUCGAUCAAUUGUAUUCGCAUAAAGCUGACGCAAAGGCUCAUCGUUGUUGCGUUUGCCGAAUCAACAAGUUUAUAUUCAUACGCUUUCCAUGAUAAUAAUUUUUCGUUUUUUUCCUCGUCAACCACAGAAUUAAAGAUUUGUCCCGCUGUUAUUACACGUAAGUUAUACAAGGCAGUUUAUUUUAUUUUAAGCCUUCGUGUCUGGCCACGACAAAUUUAAAUAUAUUUAUAAAUUCAUAAUAAUUUACAUAAGUAUAAGUAGCUUUUAUUUGAAAGAAUUUUUAAUUGAUUUGCAAAGAAGAAGAUUUAAACCGAAAGAUAGUAUCAGUAGAGACCGUUUACGAUCAGAUCCGUUUUAUAUACAAGACGCCAAACUUUAAAACUCUCUACAAGGUCUUUAACAAGGUUAUCUCAUCCGCUUAAAAUUCUUAGCAAUUAGUUAAAAAUAUGAAACGUUUAGUAGGGGACCUGUUGCUCUUGUCGCUUUAGAAUUCGUAAAACUUUCGACCACAAAGUGCUUCGUUUGAAUAAAAAAUCUCGCUCGGUACAGCACUUUACAAUUCUACAAACCUCAUUUUCUCUACUUCAAACCUAUUUUACGCGUUUUUACGUUCUGUAUUCGACUUAUUUUCCAGGUACACAGUGUCCAAGCUUAAAAUUUCACACACACAAAAUUAUUUUAUACUGAAUCUCUUCUUUUGUUGUUAAAAACUAUGGAUAUUGAUAAAAAUAAAUUUCACGCGAAACUUUAAUUUUCGAAAUCAAAAAUCAUUUUAAUCGAUUAGUGAAAUUAUGAAAAUUGACCAGAGAUUCCAAAAUUAUUAAGAUUAAUCUUCUCUUAAAGAUCCUAAAAUUAUUAAAAAUCAGAGAUUUUUAAAUCAUUAAAAAUCGAAGAUUCUAAAGUUAUUUUAUUUAUUUAUUUAUUUACAUUUCAUAGUCCUGCCCUCCGCAAUAAAACGGACUUCCAGUUACAUUUCUCUUUGGGAUUCUAACGUUAUCAAAAAUGAUCAAAGGCCGCAAAAAGGUCUAAAAAAAUCUCUGUUUGCUAUUUCACUGUUGUAUGCAUUCUCUCCCUUCGUCCCUAAUCGAUGGACAUCGCUCUAAUUCUUUUCUUUCCCUUUACUUUCGAUCACACGAGAGAAGCGUCGAAAAAACGACGACCACGAGGGAUGAAAGGAUGGUUUCAGGGAUGGAGAUUCGUGAAAGCAGGCCGCGAGGGAAGAAGUGAAUCGAGAUUGGUCCGAUGUUUGUUCAGUACACAACCGUUUCGUAUGUAGAAAGCGUUCAUUCAGCGAUGGUUGCGCUUCUUUAUGCAUAUGUCCAAUAAAACAACCUCCAAAUAAUAUUCUGUUCUUCGAAUUUACUUUUUUAACGUUCCAUCCUUCCGGGCUAUAAUUUUCUUAAGACGCUUAAACCGAUCUCUUGAACUUUCGCCUCUUCAGUGAAAACAUGCAUUUUUUUAUCUCCACUUUAGACUCAAACGCCAACUUCUUGACGUAUUACAGGAUUUUACGAUUUUGUAGUACAUUCUUGUUGAAUUUUUUGCUGGAUGAAAAAACGCUUAUCCGAUACUUUUAGUAUUUGCCUCGAAGCUGUUUAAUGGUAUUAUCCUUUUAAUAAAAUUUAAUUAUAACGCGCUUUUACGAAAUGAUAGCGUACACAGUGACUGUUAAUAGUUUCUGGUCAGAGUGUAAUUCUAUUUUAACGUACCUUUUACUUUAACAAAAUCCUUCGUGUAAAAUGUUCCGCGAUAUUGUAUAAUAUUCUUGUAAAAAAGAAUAUAUUAAUGCUAAUCGGUAGAACUAUUAAAAAGAUCGUACAGUUUUUCGAGAAUGUUAAUAGACUUCUUGAUAAGAAGACAUCGCUUGUCCUAUCUUGGUAUGCGUUAAGGGUUGAUGGUAUAAUUUACUAUAUUUUGAAGAUCAAAGUUACGAUAUUCAUAACAAGUUUACCAAAGUACUUUUACCUAACGCCGCUUGAUUUUAUGUGAUUAUACUUGCAAAGUUCUGUAUCGCUUAUUAUACAGUUUUGUUUUUAUCAAAAGAAAAGAAAAAUACCUCUCACAGGGGUAGUUUGCAUAUUUUGGUGGAGACUCGUGAGUAUAAGUGUCGUUGUCGUUGAGGGCGAUGCACUCGGUUGAAGUAGGCUAAUGGGAACUUUCGAGUAGCCAUCUUCAUAACUUUUCGUAUCUCUUGCGAACAGCUUUACAAUCUGUAUAACAUUGCAGCUCCCGAUUUUCUAGAAGAAACACGAAAUACCUUCGAACCGUUUAAACACAGAGUGCAACUGGCAAACUUUCAUUACAAGAUCAAGUUUAAUUCCACUUGCCUUGAUGGACGCAGGCUAUUGUUAAUUAAAAUCCUCGCACCAAUUUGUAUAAAUAUAUGAAUAUAAUACGACAUCUUUCCAAUGAAUUAAAAAUAACACGAGAUUUUUAGCAAAUUUAAAAAAAUAAAAGAAUUAAGAUUAAAUUUAGACGUAGUCGAACCUUAUUUCGUUAUGUAAUUUCCGUGAGAAGUACAGGGAACAUAAUUGAACAUAAUGUGGCAGAUCCAUCAUGAUAGAUUUCGUGAUUUUAAUGUUACGUGUUCAAAAACGUUAUAUUAAAAAAGCAAUAGUGUUAGAAUAAUUAAUAUUUUUGAAAUUUAUAAGUGCAGUUAUACUUUCAUGCUGUUAAAACUGACUUUUCAUUUAGCGCUGGAAUUGUAUGAACGUUUUUAUCAUCUUGUUGAAUAACUGCGCUUACACGUCUCUUUUAUUACGGUCUUCAGUUGUGAUUUAUUAAUUUGUUUAUCAUUUACUGCUCAUUAAUUUGUAUAACUACAAUAUCGUACAUAUUCAAUAUGAAAUUCCACUACUGUAAUUUAUAGAUAUGUUUUACAUUACAUUAUUGGUGUUCCAUAUUGUAACAAUGUAACUGCAUAAUUUGUGCAAAUUAAUGAAAACAUUUGAGCAAAAUACAAUCCUUCAAAAUAUAUCUCAUAAUGUCUGAUACAUGGAUUAUAAUCAUCAAAUUAUCAACUUUACAACCUAAAGAAUAUACAGCAGCAGCCUUGAAGCUUCGUAAAAAUGUAAGUUGAAUUUUUCAAUUAACUUCAAUUUUUCAAUCAACCAUAAUUAAACAUUCUGCUCGUUUCAAACCUCGUUAUAUGUUAUUGAAACCCAAUACGAAAGAGUUUUCGUGUUAAUAAUUCGUAUUUCAUCGAAACGCGUAAAUGUGGAUCGCGAUUCUAAUCGAUACCUAUUCGAUCCUGAAUUAAUUAAAAAAAUUAGCAGAAGCUCGUUACGAGGAGUGCACGCUUUCAAGGGAACUUUUUGCACGGCCGGGAAUAGCGUCGCACCGCGGAGGCAGCCGAUUCUUUCAUCCCGGAAGCGCGCUGGAACUUGGAGAUUUUAUUACGAGCGUACAGUGAUCCUCUUUAAUUGCAUCCGUUGCGAGGCGACCCUCGAAAAGCAAUUUCGAGUGUACCGGAGGCUGGAUUUAUCGCGACCGGUAUUCACUGUAAACAGCCAACGGCGUUCCUCUUAAUUCUGCCCCUAGCUUCCGAUUCUCUGCCUUUGCUCUGUUGGCCGCGUUUUUUCUUUCGUUUUAGCGGCACCGUGAAACGAAGAAAACGUGCUUCUAUCGUCGAAUAGGUUUUACUAAUAGUCGAUGCUCCAUUCUUCCUUAUUUAUUUAUUUCUUUAUCUUUUUCAUGAUUUUUAUAGUCCGGGAUUAGGUAAGUACUGCGAUUAAUAAAAUACGUAACAAAGAGCAAAGCGUAGAAUGCAAUAAGGCAAGUUAGAAACUUAAACACCGGUAUCUAUACAUUUUAAUACGAUACAGCGUAUGUUAUAAUUAAGUAGGCAGCUUACGAUAUCAUAAUUGCUGAUACAGAUUAAAUUUCAACUGCAGAAAGAGAAAGGGAGACACUGAGAAGUCAUAAAUAUCUUUGAGAAGAUAAAGAAGAUUCUCGCAAUGAUCUUCAAUGCUUCUGAUUUGGACAUGUCUGUAUCUCAUUUGGCAGACCGAAUUUAGUUCUUAACUUAAUUUAGUCUCCAUGAAUUAACGUUGCUACGAUUAAGAAGAUUAUCAUCUAUAAUAGGAUAAAGUUAAAAGAGUGUGUUAGUUUAGUAUGUCGAAUUUUAAGUCUCGUGAGAAUAGCUUGCUUUCUCUUAUUGGAAAGAAAUGCUGGACUUUUAUCGACGUACGUACGGAUGUUAUGUAUGUUGGAUGGAGGUGAUUCUUUAUUUUUUCUACCUAUGGAAGGGACGUUUCUACUCUCUGGGGUUUUGUUUCUUAUUCUACGUUUCUAAUCGAAUGGAAACCGGGAGUAAAGAUCUAAAACACAUUUAGCGCAUGUCGAGAUAAAGAGGUUUUUAAGCUACGCUGUUCCACAAGUUUCGAGCACUUAAUGUGCUUCUUGUGUUUAACAUUAAAUCGCCUUUUGAUCGCAAUAUCUGCAACCCGUGCGUACUGAAAUAAUUUAGAAACACUGUAGAACCAUAUUUUACUUUUAACUCAAAUUUGACCAAAAUGUGUGACCAUUCAAUUUUUUACCAUGCAACUUUUUAUGCACUUAUGGGAGAAACGCGAAACAUAAGCAAAAACAUAUGAAUAAAUUCAAACUAUAAUACUCGUUAUAAUAUCUAUAAAAAAAAUUAUUAUCCAUUGAGGUUCUAUUUUUUUCAGCUAUAUUCGUAAAAAUGUGAAAUUGCAUAAAAAUCCGUAAUCUACCUUUGAUGAAAACUAAAUUGAAAAGGUAAGCCGAAUAUUCUACCUUUUAGAUUUGCAUUGACAACAUUUUUGCUUUGUGUGAUUUUGUGACAUUUAUAUUUCGGAAAUAUAAAAUGUGAAAUUAAUAUAAAACUUAUCACGUGAUAUUUAGACUUCUAUUAAUGAAACGAGAAUUUAUGACUUCUCAGUGUCUCCCUUUCUCUUUCUGCAGUUGAAAUUUAAUCUGCUGAAAUAGGAAACGUCACAUAAAACUGUAUAUCAUUCAGAAAGUAAAAGCCACGUCGAUUAAUAACGUCACCAUCAAGGUGUUAACUAAUCCGUGGCCAGGGUCAACGUAAUAAGGCACACCUGAGAUUGAUGACAGCCGUUGAUGUACCACUACUUUGUUAUUAUGUAUUUCUGUAAGAAUUCUAUUGUGUAUUCCAUUGUUUCUCGAUUAAACCAUUCAACAGAUUUAUCUUAAUUUAGUCUAUUAAUAAUUUCGACGUCUCUUUUUCUAUCUUGAUGAAAGAUACAUUGGCACAUUUACACGUCUUGAAGUGACGUUUCCGGUUCAUGCUGAAUUUUACAUAUAAAUCUUUUCUCUGUACUUUAGAGCUGACAUUUUUCAGCAUCUACAUUCCCAUACAAAAGUCUUCGUAAUAGAAAAGCCAUUUUUACUCGAAUAAAAUCUUAUAAAAUCUCAGCGUAGAGUUAACGUAUUUCGUCACAAAACGAUUAACAUAACUGUUUUAUUCUUGCGUAAUAAAACAAAAAGUAACUGCGAUAUAGAAAUAAAACUAGCCAAUUCUAUCGAGGUUAAUUAAUCGUUCCGUAUCUGCGAAAUGAACGCUGUCUAUGUAUUUUGAUACAUAAAAUUAAAAACUUUUCAAACAUCGAAAUUGAUCAGUUCAGCUUGUCAGAGUGACUCCUACAUGCUUUAUUUAAACAAAGAAUAUCAAUGUUUUCAAGACAUACGGAUUACUUGGAAAUGACUGUACAUUUGUCAUUUUUCCAGUGCCUGCUGGUAUUUCUAUUCUUUCUUCCAAGAGUAGAAGCUAUCGUAACGAUUUGUUAUAUUCGUUACAUUAGCAUGAUCGAUCGUGCGGAGCAAAUGAUCCACGUUUCGUGUGCAUACGCCCUCGUUACGCCGUGUUUUUCCCUGGUGAUCGAGUGGAUUUCAUCAUCGGUAAAAUGGACUAUAUCAGACGUUGCUGGCAUUAAUAUUCAAGGUAUUUAACGUUUAAAGACGCGGGCGUGUCGAGUAGUGCCUCUCGGUAACAGGCAAUUCGAUUGGCAAGCAACGAGGGAAAAAGCUGUUACACAAUAAAAUAAUAGCCAUUAUGACUAAUCGCGCGAGUGGAACUCGCGAGUAUCGCGACCCUGACUAAUUGUAAGCGAGUACGCGAAUUGCGGUUGAAUGGAACGUGCUGUCGCGUCCCGGAAACUCGAAAAAGUCAAAGGGAAACGCAAUUUCGCGAUAAUGAAUCUGGAAUGUAUUAAUGUACGUGGUGUCUCACUUUGAUCGUUCCACGCAAACAUAUAUCCUAAACUAUACGUAAUUCGAGAAAGAGCGUACAAUAAAAUUGUACGGUUUCAAUUGGCUCAUCUUACGACGUUCAACUAGAUUUGUCUAAAUGGAAGCGUUUACGAGAUUCUAAGAUAACCGUUGUUUCUUCAAAUUGAAUUAUACGUUUUAUCUUUUAUGACACCAUCCGAUGCACUUUUUAAUUCUCUACGGAAGAGUAUUAAGAUAGUUGCAUCUGAAAAUUCUUAGCUUAAAAGAUAUCUCAUUGUUAAUUUCAUUAAAAUUGAGCGUGUGGAGGACAAGAAACAUAUAAACGUAAGUGCGCUGUGUUAUCUUUCCUUGUCUUUCAUGCGAUAAGUUUUACAAGGUUGAAGCUGGAAUACCUUUUGAACUAAUCAUUUUUCCAUUGAAGUACUCUAAUACUGGUUUGUAGGGAAUUUAAAAAUCCAUCGAAUAGCGUAUAAAAAAAUGUAUGUAGAAAUCCAUUUGUAUAAACGAAGGUCAUCUUGAGAUCUCGAAGCUACGUAGUUUUCGAAGAAACACUUCUUUCGAAUAAUUUACGGUUUAAGAGACAUUUGCCUGGGUCAAUCAAGACGAGACACCUUGUAUAUACAGGCUGUUGCAAAAACAUGAUAGAUGCAAGGAUUUUGUUAAAGGGAAUAAGAAAUAAUUUCGAAACACAUUUAGCAUUGUAAUUAUUAAUAUAUUAAUUUAGUAUAACAUUGUAUUUAUUAUAUCAUACUAGUUAAUUAAGUCCAAAUGUAUUAAUUUUGGUAUUUGGUAGAAUUUCAUAUUAGGAAAAUGAAAUAUAGAAAAACUCAUUUAAUUUUAAGAAAUGGUUCUUUACUAUUCAUUUUCCUCGAUCAUUUUUCAGCAUGGGAAAACCAUGAUUAUUCAGAAGC